UACGUAGGGUGCAGGCGUUAAUCGGAAUUACUGGGCGUAAAGCGUGCGCAGGCGGUUUCUUAAGUCAGAUGUGAAAGCCCCGGGCUUAACCUGGGAACUGCGUUUGAAACUGGGAGACUUGAGUGUGGCAGAGGGGGGGUGGAAUUCCACGGUGUAGCAGUGAAAUGCGUAGAUAUGUGGAGGAACACCGAUGGCGAAGGCAGCCCCCUGGGUUAACACUGACGCUCGAUGCACGAAAGCGUGGGGAGCAAACAGG
rnacentral:rRNA from 1 species